rnacentral:rRNA from 1 species
AACGAACGCUGAUGGCGUGCCUUAUACAUGCAAGUCGAGCGAGAAGUUGGUGCUUGCACCGACGGAGAGCGGCGAACGGGUGAGUAACACGUGAAUAACCUGCCCUUCAGUUGGGGAUAACCUUUCUAACGAGAGGCUAAUACCGAAUAUCGUAAUCAUUCGCAUGUUUGAUUACAAAAGGCUUCGGCUGUUGAAGGAUGGAUUCGCGUCUGAUUAGCUUGUUGGUGGGGUAACGGCCUACCAAGGCAAUGAUCAGUAGCCGGCCUGAGAGGGUGAUCGGCCACAUUGGGACUGAGAUACGGCCCAGACUCCUACGGGAGGCAGCAGUAGGGAAUUUUGCGCAAUGGAGGAAACUCUGACGCAGCAACGCCAUGUGUGGGAUGACGCAUUUAGGUGUGUAAACCACUGUCGGCAGGGAAUAAACUAUGGUUUUACCAUACUGAAGGUACCUGCAAUAGGAAGCACCGGCUAACUUCGUGCCAGCAGCCGACGG